rnacentral:rRNA from 1 species
GACGAACGUUGGCGGCGUGCUUAAUACAUGCAAGUCAACUGAAGCAGUGGUAGCAAUAUCGCUGUGGAGGUGGCGCACGGGUGAGUAACACGUAGGUAAUCUGCCUUCAGGUCUGGCAUAACUCCGGGAAACCGGGGCUAAUAGCAGAUGAUGCAGCGGCUCGACAUCGAGACAGUUGUUAAAGCUAUGGCGCCUGAAGAUGAGCCUGCGUCUGAUUAGCUAGUUGGCGGGGUAACGGCCCACCAAGGCAACGAUCAGUAGCUGGUCUGAGAGGAUGAUCAGCCACACUGGAACUGAGACACGGUCCAGACUCGUACGGGAGGCAGCAGUAAGGAAUAUUGCUCAAUGGGAGAAAUCCUGAAGCAGCAACGCCGCGUGAGGGACGAAGGGCUUUUGCUUGUAAACCUCUGUAGUGAGAGAAAAAAAUCCCAAUCUUUGGGACAUGAUGGUAUCUCAAAAGUAAGCCCCGGCUAACUACGUG